AACAACAAGAAUAACAUUGUAAACGUAUAUGA
rnacentral:guide_RNA from 1 species